UACGAAGGGGGCUAGCGUUGCUCGGAAUGACUGGGCGUAAAGGGCGCGUAGGCGGAUGGCACAGUCAGAUGUGAAAUUCCCGGGCUUAACCUGGGGGCUGCAUUUGAUACGUGUUGUCUAGAGUGAGGAAGAGGGUUGUGGAAUUCCCAGUGUAGAGGUGAAAUUCGUAGAUAUUGGGAAGAACACCGGUGGCGAAGGCGGCAACCUGGUCCUUGACUGACGCUGAGGCGCGAGAGCGUGGGGAGCAAACAGG
rnacentral:rRNA from 1 species